rnacentral:rRNA from 1 species
ACGCUCGACACCUACGGGGAGGCUGCAGUGAGGAAUAUUGGUCAAUGGACGCAAGUCUGAACCAGCCAUGCCGCGUGCAGGAUGACGGCUCUAUGAGUUGUAAAACUGCUUUUGUACGAGGGUAAACGCAGAUACGUGUAUCUGUCUGAAAGUAUCGUACGAAUAAGGAUCGGCUAACUCCGUGCCUGCAGCCGCGGUAAUCUGAGGCCGGGCUGGCAAGGC